AAUGGGCGGAAGCCUGAUCCAGCCAUGCCGCGUGAGUGAAGAAGGCCUUCGGGUUGUAAAGCUCUUUCGCAAGGAAAGAAAACUUAUCUACUAAUACUAGAUGAGGAUGACGGUACCUUGAUAAGAAGCACCGGCUAACUACGUGCCAGCAGCCGCGGUAAUACGUAGGGUGCGAGCGUUAAUCGGAAUUACUGGGCGUAAAGCGAGCGCAGGCGGUUUUGUAAGUCAGAUGUGAAAGCCCCGGGCUCAACCUGGGAACUGCGUUUGAAACUACAAGGCUAGAGUAUGGGAGAGGGAGGUAGAAUUCCACGUGUAGCAGUGAAAUGCGUAGAGAUGUGGAGGAAUACCAAUGGCGAAGGCAGCCUCCUGGCCUAAUACUGACGCUCAUGCUCGAAAGCGUGGGGAGCAAA
rnacentral:rRNA from 1 species